rnacentral:rRNA from 1 species
CAGCAGCCGCGGGAAUACGUAGGUGGCAAGCGUUGUCCGGAUUUAUUGGGCGUAAAGCGAGCGCAGGCGGUUUCUUAAGUCUGAUGUGAAAGCCCCCGGCUCAACCGGGGAGGGUCAUUGGAAACUGGGAGACUUGAGUGCAGAAGAGGAGAGUGGAAUUCCAUGUGUAGCGGUGAAAUGCGUAGAUAUAUGGAGGAACACCAGUGGCGAAGGCGGCUCUCUGGUCUGUAACUGACGCUGAGGCUCGAAAGCGUGGGGAGCGAACAGGAUUAGAUACCCGUGUAGUCCCUGUCUCUUAUAC